rnacentral:rRNA from 1 species
AGCUCCAAUAGCGUAUAUUAAAGUUGUUGCAGUUAAAAAGCUCGUAGUUGGAUUUCUGGGCCUGUACGGUGGUCCGCCGCAAGGUGAGCACUGCUGUGUGGGCCCUUCCUCUCGAAGGCUGCGUGUGCUCUUAACUGGGUGUGCGUGGGAUUCGGGAUCUUUACUUUGAAAAAAUUAGAGUGUUCAAAGCAGGCGUUUGCUUGAAUAUAUUAGCAUGGAAUAAUCGAAUAGGACUUUGGUUCUAUUUUGUUGGUUUCUAGGACCGAAGUAAUGAUUAAUAGGGACAGUUGGGGGCAUUCGUAUUUAAUUGUCAGAGGUGAAAUUCUUAGAUUUAUGAAAGACGAACUUCUGCGAAAGCAUUUGCCAAGGAUGUUUUCAUUA